UUUCUGUCCCUACUUCGGGGGUGCCAAACCCCAAGCACAAGCUGAACCGCGAUAUGCGAUCGCGGCACACUUCCUCAGCUACCGGAGUAGGAGAAGAAUUCCAGGGAAACACUCUGUCUUGGGUUAUUACAGCCCAAGGGUGACAGAGGCACAUUAACUGGA
rnacentral:ribozyme from 1 species